AUGCAUACGUGGUUGGUGACCUCGCGUGCCGCCAUUGCCGGAGGCUGGCUGGCUGGAUGGACGGGCGUCCGCGGUGCCGGUGUUUUGCAGCCUUACAUCUCAGGGAAGACGCUUGCUAAAAUGUGUGCAUGCCAAGAUUCCUGCGGUUCCAGACUGAUUGCUGGUGCGGAUGGGAGGUGGAUGCCCGCACGGAUCCGGCGUCUCCAACCUCGGCAUCCACAAGGAGGAGCGGCGACAAUUACAUACCCAACCAUGGGGCAGCAGCAAUUCAUGGUUGAGCCUCCCUCUACCUCUCUCACAUUCCCUGAUUUUGCUGCUGCUCUAAAUUCACUUUCACUUGAUUGA
rnacentral:rRNA from 1 species